UGGAGGUGAAGCAACAACCUCACAACCACUGAAUACAGAAACUGAACGUUAAGGAUGGAGAAGUUGGAAGUGAAAAGGAGAUUGAGUUCUUAACUUUUUUUUUUUUUUAAGUAGCUAGAGCUGCUAUUAUCUAUUUAUGGACUUCAUGUUAUACAAGAAAAAAACUUCUAUUUGCUGAAGCCACUGAGGUCAACCUUCUUUUAUACGCAGCUGAACACGACACAAACUGAGGGUCUACAUCUUUGACCCUUUUUGAUCUUUGGUCUGUGAUUACAGCAGAAAUAGCCCUCUUCCCACAGAAUUUAUGUUAAUUUAGAUCUUUUUUCCAUGUUCCAUGGGACCAACAAGGAGAUAGAACCAUUUUAGCAAUUUGAACAAAGAAAAUGUAAUGUAAAGAUUGUUAACCAAUAAAAGGUAUCCACUAAGAAGAAUAGAGUGAUUUCUAAGAGGUGCAGAAGUAGCAACUGUCGGAAGAGCUACUACCCUUGGCUAAGGAUGAGUGAACAGAAAGGAAGAACUUAGAAAUUUAAAGAAGAGGGCAUGGCUGUCACAGGAAUGUAUAGUCCCCCUGUUUUGAAGAAACUUGCUAGAGGUACC